UACAGAGGGUGCGAGCGUUGUCCGGAAUUACUGGGCGUAAAGGACGCGUAGGCGGCUUGGUAAGUCGGGGGUGAAAGUCAGCGGCUCAACCGCUGGACUGCCUUCGAGACUGCCUGGCUUGAGCAUGGUAGAGGCUGGCGGAAUUCCCCGGUGUAGCAGUGGAAUGCGUAGAGAUCGGGAAGAACAUCGGUGGCGAAGGCGGCCAGCUGGGCCAUUGCUGACGCUGAUGCGCGACAGCGUGGGGAGCAAACAGG
rnacentral:rRNA from 1 species